GAUGAAGAACGCAGCGAAAUGCGAUAAGUAAUGUGAAUUGCAGAAUUCAGUGAAUCAUCGAAUCUUUGAACGCACCUUGCACCCUUUGGCAUCCCGAAGGGUAUGCUCGUUUGAGUGUCAUUGUACUCUCACACUCUCCGAUCCUAUGGAUUCGGGGAGCGGUGGACUUGGGUGUUGCUGCCUUUCCCUGUGGCUCACCUCAAAUGCGUCAGUGCACCUCUUGGUUGGACAUAGUACGGCGUGAUAAGUGUCUUCGCCGGCACCUCGCAAGAGGGUGGCCGAUCGGGAGCUCUGCGCUUUCAAACCGUCUUCGGACAAUUUCUGACAUCUUGACCUCAAAUCGAGUAGGACUACCCGCUGAACUUAAGCAUAUCAAUAAGCGGAGGA
rnacentral:misc_RNA from 1 species